rnacentral:pre_miRNA from 1 species
AGCUUUUUGAAUCCGUGCUGAGAUUUUGUCAGACACCAACCCAUUAUGGCCGAACAGACUUCCAUGAUAAGUGAAGUU